rnacentral:lncRNA from 1 species
CAGCAUCUAGACCGAGUUAUCCAUCCUCAUCUUCCCAAUCAUCUUAUUCUUCAACUUCUCAGCUUAAUUAUCCAUCGUCUUCCAAAUAUAAUUCUCCAUCCAACUAUGUCCAACCAUCUUCCAGUUAUAAUUAUGCCUCCGGAGGAAGCUAUUCUCCUAAUACUUACAGACAAAAUUCUGGGUAUACCUUCAGCAACCAAAUAUCUCAGAGUCCAACUUACACGGCUCCAGAACCAUCCACGUAUUCGGUACAACCUAGCAGUUACGAAUCAUCAACCAAAGGUAACCAAUAUGGACCAACAGAAGUUAUCGUAACGGAAGAAGUUAAGACAAGCCAAUACUCGAGCCCGGAGGAAACGGAGGACACUGCCGAAGACAACACUACUGCCAGUUACAAAGUGAUUUACAUCCCUCUUGAUGUGCUAAAAAAUAUAUUGACAAACAGUGGGCUGAAAUGACCCAGAAUUCUUUUGCAAUGACAAAGAAAACCCAGCCACCAUCUGGCCAUUACGUGUGAAGGCCGCCGCGAUUCACAAUUCUGGUAUUUAUAUUGCUUUAGAGUCGAGUGAAGUAGCUAAUUAUCCAGAUGUGUAAGGAAUGUUGUCAAAUAAUAGUUUUGUAAAUAAAGUUAUACUUUCC